rnacentral:rRNA from 1 species
CGUGAACCUUUACUAUAGCUUGACACUGAACAUUGAGCCUUGAUGUGUAGGAUAGGUGGGAGGCUUUGAAGCGUGGACGCCAGUCUGCGUGGAGCCAACCUUGAAAUACCACCCUUUAAUGUUUGAUGUUCUAACGUUGGCCCCUUACCGGGGUUGCGGACAGUGUCUGGUGGGUAGUUUGACUGGGGCGGUCUCCUCCCAAAGCGUAACGGAGGAGCACGAAGGUUAGCUAAUCCUGGUCGGACAUCAGGAGGUUAGUGCAAUGGCAUAAGCUAGCUUGACUGCGAGCGUGACGGCGCGAGCAGGUGCGAAAGCAGGUCAUAGUGAUCCGGUGGUUCUGAAUGGAAGGGCCAUCGCUCAACGGAUAAAAGGUACUCCGGGGAUAACAGGCUGAUACCGCCCAAGAGUUCAUAUCGACGGCGGUGUUUGGCACCUCGAUGUCGGCUCAUCACAUCCUGGGGCUGAAGUAGGUCCCAAGGGUAUGGCUGUUCGCCAUUUAAAGUGGUACGCGAGCUGGGUUUAGAACGUCGUGAGACAGUUCGGUCCCUAUCUGCCGUGGGCGCUGGAGAAUUGAGGGGGGCUGCUCCUAGUACGAGAGGACCGGAGUGGACGCAUCACUGGUGUUCGGGUUGUCAUGCCAAUGGCACUGCCCGGUAGCUAAAUGCGGAAGAGAUAAGUGCUGAAAGCAUCUAAGCACGAAACUUGCCCCGAGAUGAGUUCUCCCUGAGACUU